ACAGAGGAUGCAAGCGUUAUCCGGAAUGAUUGGGCGUAAAGCGUCUGUAGGUGGCUUAAAAAGUCUCCUGUCAAAGAUCAGGGCUUAACCCUGGGCCGGCAGGAGAAACUCUUAGGCUAGAGUUUGGUAGGGGCAGAGGGAAUUCCCGGUGGAGCGGUGAAAUGCGUAGAGAUCGGGAGGAACACCAAAGGCGAAAGCACUCUGCUGGGCCAUAACUGACACUGAGAGACGAAAGCGAGGGGAGCAAAAGGGAUUAGAUACCCCUGUAGUCCUCGCCGUAAACGAUGGAUACUAGAUGUUGGAUAGGUUAAAUCAUUCAGUAUCGUAGCUAACGCGUGAAGUAUCCCGCCUGGGGAGUAUGCUCGCAAGAGUG
rnacentral:rRNA from 1 species